rnacentral:snoRNA from 1 species
UCCCUCUCAGGGUCGCACCUCGAGAGUUUCCAGUACUCUGCCAGUCUCAACUACGGGAGGGAGAGUCAAGCAGAGGCAUGCACAUUCCAUUCCUAGCUUGGCCAGUGGCUAGAGAGUGGACGGCAAUCUGCAACAAGU